rnacentral:rRNA from 1 species
UACGUAGGGUGCGAGCGUUAAUCGGAAUUACUGGGCGUAAAGCGUGCGUAGUCGGUUAUCUAAGUCAGGUGUGAAAUCCCCGGGCUCAACCUGGGAAUUGCAUUUGAUACUGGAUAGCUUGAGUUCGGGAGAGGGAAGCGGAAUUCCGGGUGUAGCGGUGAAAUGCGUAGAUAUCCGGAGGAACACCGGUGGCGAAGGCGGCUUCCUGGACCGACACUGACGCUGAGGCGCGAAAGCUAGGGGAGCAAACGGG